rfam:Triticum aestivum genome assembly, contig: Triticum_aestivum_CS42_TGACv1_scaffold_622393_7DS
GAUAUACUCCCUCCGUCCCAAAAUUUUUGUCUUAGAUUUGUUUAGAUAAGGAUGUACCUAAUACUAAAAUAUGAGUUGAUACAUUCGUAUUUAGACAAAUCUAAAAUAUGAAUUUUGGGACGGAGGGAGUAUAAG